rnacentral:rRNA from 1 species
GAGCGGCCGAUGUCCGAUUAGCUUGUUGGUGGGGUAACGGCUCACCAAGGCGACGAUCGGUAGCUGGUCUGAGAGGAUGAUCAGCCACACUGGGACUGAGACACGGCCCAGACUCCUACGGGAGGCAGCAGUGGGGAAUUUUGGACAAUGGGGGAAACCCUGAUCCAGCCAUGCCGCGUGAGUGAAGAAGGCCUUCGGGUUGUAAAGCUCUUUUGGCCGGAAAGAAAAGGCCACGGAUAACACCCGUGGUUCUUGACGGUACCGGCAGAAUAAGCACCGGCUAACUACGUGCCAGCAGCCGCGGUAAUACGUAGGGUGCGAGCGUUAAUCGGAAUUACUGGGCGUAAAGCGCGCGUAGGCGGUCCCCCAAGUCCGCUGUGAAAGCCCCGGGCUUAACCUGGGAAUGGCAGUGGAAACUAUGGGACUUGAAUCUGGCAGAGGGGGGUGGAAUGCCACGUGUAGCAGUGAAAUGCGUAGAGAUGUGGCGG